ensembl:miRNA
CCAGAAGUGGUCUGCAAAGAGAUGACUGUGGAUCCCAGAUCCACAUGAGCUCUAUGCUGCCUACAUCUGA